rnacentral:rRNA from 1 species
GCAGCUUACCAGCAUGCAACUGACACUGAGGCACGAAAGCGUGGGUAUCAAACAGGAUUAGAUACCCUGGUAGUCCACGCAGUAAACGAUGAAUACUAGCUGUUGGCGAUAUAUGGUCAGCGGUACAGCGAAAGUGUUAAGUAUUCCACCUGGGGAGUACGCCGGCAACGGUGAAACUCAAAGGAAUUGACGGGGGCCCGCACAAGCGGAGGAACAUGUGGUUUAAUUCGAUGAUACGCGAGGAACCUUACCCGGGCUUGAAAGUUAGUGACGGCGGAUGAAAGUCUGCUUCCCUUCGGGGCACGAAACUAGGUGCUGCAUGGUUGUCGUCAGCUCGUGCCGUGAGGUGUCGGCUUAAGUGCCAUAACGAGCGCAACCCUUGCCGUUAGUUGCCAGCGGGUAAUGCCGGGAACUCUAGCGGGACUGCUACUGUAAGGUAGAGGAAGGUGGGGAUGACGUCAAAUCAGCACGGCCCUUACGUCCGGGGCGACACACGUGUUACAAUGGUGAGUACAGAGGGUUGCUACCUGGCGACAGGAUGCUAAUCUCCUAAAACUCAUCUCAGUUCGGAUCGGAGUCUGCAACUCGAUCCGGAAGCUG